rnacentral:rRNA from 1 species
AUUGAACGCUGGCGGCAUGCCUUACACAUGCAAGUCGAACGGCAGCACGGGUGCUUGCCCCUGGUGGCGAGUGGCGAACGGGUGAGUAAUACAUCGGAACAUGUCCUGUAGUGGGGGAUAGCCCGGCGAAAGCCGGAUUAAUACCGCAUACGAUCUACGGAUGAAAGCGGGGGACCUUCGGGCCUCGCGCUUUGGGGUUGGCCGAUGGCUGAUUAGCUAGUUGGUGGGGUAUAGGCCUACCAAGGCGACGAUCAGUAGCUGGUCUGAGAGGACGACCAGCCACACUGGGACUGAGACACGGCCCAGACUCCUACGGGAGGCAGCAGUGGGGAAUUUUGGACAAUGGGCGAAAGCCUGAUCCAGCAAUGCCGCGUGUGUGAAGAAGGCCUUCGGGUUGUAAAGCACUUUUGUCCGGAAAGAAAUCCUUGGCCCUAAUACGGUCGGGGGAUGACGGUACCGGAAGAAUAAGCACCGGCUAACUACGUG